GACGAACGCUGGCGGCGUGCUUAACACAUGCAAGUCGAACGGGAUCCAUGUUGUAGCAAUACUUCGGAAGAUCUAGUGGCGAACGGGUGAGGAACACGUGAGAAACCUGCCCCGAACUUCGGGAUAACAGUUGGAAACGACUGCUAAUACCGAAUACCUCUGCGAAGUGGCAUCACUUUGCAAAGAAAGAAUUUCGGUUCGGGAGGGUCUCGCGGCCUAUCAGCUAGUUGGUGGGGUAACGGCCUACCAAGGCAUCGACGGGUAGCUGGUCUGGGAGGAUGAUCAGCCACACUGGGACUGAGACACGGCCCAGACUCCUACGGGAGGCAGCAGUGGGGAAUCUUGUGCAAUGGGCGAAAGCCUGACACAGCAACGCCGCGUGCGGGAAGAAGGCCUUCGGGUCGUAAACCGCUUUCAGCAGGAACGAAAAUGACGGUACCUGCAGAAGAAGGUGCGGCCAACUACGUGCCAGCCGCCGCAGUAA
rnacentral:rRNA from 1 species